rnacentral:lncRNA from 1 species
GUGAAUGUGUUUUUGCCAAUUGAGUAUUACCUAGCUUCAAGUUUGCUAUGAGUUGCUUUUAGCUGUAGUGAGAAGAAGGCUGCCGGCCCUCCAAGAUUACUCAAUCCACAUCACCUGCCAAAAUUGCACCAGGGAAUCAAAGACACAAAGCAUAUGGACAUGAACAACAGUGUAUGAUUAGUGAUAAAUGAGCAGUGACAGGUGAAUGAUUCGGCGAAGGUGCGUGCUGUGUUAGGUCA